UACGUAGGGUCCGAGCGGUGUCCGGAAUUACUGGGCGUAAAGAGCUCGUAGGUGGUUUGUCGCGUUGUUCGUGAAAACUCACAGCUCAACUGUGGGCGUGCGGGCGAUACGGGCAGACUAGAGUACUGCAGGGGAGACUGGAAUUCCUGGUGUAGCGGUGAAAUGCGCAGAUAUCAGGAAGAACACCCGUGGCGAAAGCGGCUCUCUGGAACGGUACUGACGCUGAGACGCGAAAGCGUGGGGAGCGAACAGG
rnacentral:rRNA from 1 species